rfam:Salmo salar isolate Sally breed double haploid chromosome ssa11, whole genome shotgun sequence.
UGCAUUCACUACAGUAAGUCGCUCUGGAUAAGAGCGUCUGCUAAAUGACUGAAA